GCCUUACGUCACGGAAGGCGAGGCCCUGUUGACAGUUUUUUUUUCUCCCCCGCCGAUUUGAUCAUAUGAUGUCCACCCAGAAAACUGUGAUUCAGAGGAAGACGACGGGGAGGAAGACAACCAAAGAUCAUACUCAGGAUGAAGUUUGUGCAGAACAUAGUCACCUGGGAUGGACAUGAUCUGGGGAAGUGUCCUGAUUCUGGUUUUACAGCCUGAGAGAAAUCCCUGACCACAGAGUCAAGACUGGAAGUGGGGAAUCACACUGAGGAAACUAUCUUAGCAGGAAGUCAGGACUCUUUAUAUUUACUAAAGGUGAAAAGAAAAGGGUUGCAGGGAUUAUUGCAGUGCAGACUGGCAAAAAAAUCCCAGAUUACUCAAACGUGUACUGAUACUUCACAAUUCUCUAUAAAAAAAAGUUGUGCAAAAAUGUUAAUCAUCUUUUUUGUACUUUAAUAAUCCAGUACUUAUUUUAAAGUGAAUUUUCAAGUACUAUUAAAAAAAUGACAUUGUUUCUUUGGUAUAUCAAUAAACACAAUGCAUUCCGGUAUUAAAAGCAACUGUUUGACAUAAGUCCCAUACUUUCAUUCAGUUUUUCUUAAGAUUUUCAAAAAGUUUUCUAUUUGAUUCUUUUAUUAGCUCAACAUUAUCUUUG